CUUUUUUCUUUUUUUUUUCUUUUUUUUUUCAUGAGAGAUUAUUUUAUUUUGCACACAAGGGAUCAAACAUUCCUGCAAUUUACACCACAGAUAAAGCACCUGACACUUACAAAUGACUGUUGUAAAAGUUAUGUGCAGGUCUAUAAUAGUCAACCAAAUAUCGUUAAUAUUGACACUAAACUUCAUCUACAACUUUGAGGAUUGUUUAAAAUACCAUUGAAUCAGUUAGAAAAUAGUGAUAAUCUUUUCUUGUUUGUUAAAAGUGUCAAGUGAUUAAUUAAAGUUCACUUAACUAAAGGUCAGUCUUUUAUUAAUAAUGGUUAUCAAAAAACGUCAUAUUGUACAGUUGCAUUGAGGCUUAGGAUGUUUUUUUCCUUUGUUUUGGGCUUUCUUUUCCACUGCAGAGAAACUGUGAGUCCAUGAAUGCAAACCUUGCAUCUGUGCACAGCCUUGAGGAGUACCAAGUGAUUCAGAGGGUCAUAUCUGAAGCCAGUCAAGCAAGUGAACGGACAUGGAUUGGAGGCUCUGAUGGUCAACAGGAGGGCUAUUGGUUUUGGAUCGAUGGGACACGUUUCACUUACACAAACUGGUGUUCUGGAGAGCCUACCAGUAUGGAGAGAUGCAUAGAGAUGAAUUUUUCAGAAUUAUUGUCUAAAGGCGAAGAAAGAUGCCCAACGGAUUUACUUUACCAA